GGGGGGGGCAAGCGUUGUUCGGAAUUACUGGGCGUAAAGGGCUCGUAGGCGGCCAACUAAGUCAGACGUGAAAUCCCUCAGCUUAACUGGGGAACUGCGUCUGAUACUGGAUGGCUAGAGUGUGGGAGAGGGAUGCGGAAUUCCAGGUGUAGCGGUGAAAUGCGUAGAUAUCUGGAGGAACACCGGUGGCGAAGGCGGCAUCCUGGACCACGACUGACGCUGAGUGAGCGAAAGCCAGGGGAGCAAACGGGAUUAGAUACCCCGGUAGUCCUGGCCCUAAACGAUGAAUGCUUGGUGUGACGGGUAUCGAUCCCUGUCGUGCCGAAGCUAACGCAUUAAGCAUUCCGCCUGGGGAGUACGGUCGCAAGGCUG
rnacentral:rRNA from 1 species